rnacentral:rRNA from 1 species
GACGAACGCUGGCGGCGUGCUUAACACAUGCAAGUCGAACGGAAAGACCCUGCUUUUGUGGGUUGCUCGUUUGGCGAACGGGUGAGUAACACGUGAGUAACCUGCCCUUGACUUUGGGAUAACUUCAGGAAACUGGGGCUAAUACCGGAUAGGAGCUCCUGCUGCAUGGUGGGGGUUGGAAAGUUUCGGCGGUUGGGGAUGGACUCGCUGCUUCUCCGCUUGUUUGUGGGGUAGUGGCUUACCAAGGCUUUGACGGGUAGCCGGCCUGAGAGGGUGACCGGGCACAUGGGGACUGAGAGACGGACCAGAAUCCUACGGGAGGCAGCAGUGGGGAAUAUUGCACAAUGGGCGGAAGUCUGAUGCAGCAACGCCGCGUGCGGGAUGACGGGCUUCGGGUUGUAAACCGCUUUGGCAGGUGACGAAGAGUGAGUGACGGUAAUGGGUAAAGAAGCACCGGCUAACUACGUG